AGAUUGGACCUCAGAGGUAGAGGGUUUGCCUACCAUGCGUGAGGCACUGGGUUCAAUCCCCAGCACCAUAUA
rnacentral:tRNA from 1 species